UUGGAAAUGGUAAACCACUUAGUGGCAGACGGGUGAGUAAUACGUAGGUAACCUGCCCUAGAGACUGGGACAACAGUUAGAAAUGACUGCUAAUACCGAAUAAGUUCCAAGGGUUGCAUGGCCCAUGGAAGAAAAGGUGGCCUCUACCUGUAAGCUAUCGCCUGAAGAGGGGUUUGCGUCUGAUUAGCUGGUUGGAGGGGUAACGGCCCACCAAGGCGACGAUCAGUAGCCGGUCUGAGAGGAUGAACGGCCACACUGGAACUGAGACACGGUCCAGACUCC
rnacentral:rRNA from 1 species